rnacentral:misc_RNA from 1 species
GUUUUACUAUUCACCUAUUUGAAAAUUUCAAGCAAUAAAUGAAAUCUCAUCAAUUAUUCUCAUUAUUCACAUCUUAUUCAUAUAUCUCAAUUUCAAAUUCAUUUCCACGCAUUUCCAUUCAUGCACAAUUUAUAUAUAGAAAUUCUCAAGUUUCAUUAAUUUACAUGAUUUACAAAUUAAUUACAAUUCCAUAAUCUAUAUUUCAACAUGCAAUUCAUAAUUUACAUUACAAUUAAUAACUAAUUAUAAUGUACAAAAUAUAUAAUAUGACCUAUAUGGGCUCUAUCUAGGAUGUAACAACCUUAAACACUCUGCAGAUCAGAACUCCAAAAUAUCAGUUUAAUGUCCACUGGGCUUUGUCUUUAGUACCUGUGAGGAGCGAGUUAAGCAGCGAACUUGAGGGCCAUCUGUGAGACUGAGAUGAGAGAGAGGUUGAGGGAGAUAGGGCAAUGGCAAAUGAGAGAAUGGGAAUAGAGGGAGGCGGCUAAAGUAGAAGACCGAAAUUGAUAAGAUGAGAGAAUGAGAUAAG